rnacentral:rRNA from 1 species
UACGUAGGGACCGAGCGUUGUCCGGAAUCAUUGGGCGUAAAGAGUGUGUAGGCGGUGCUCUAAGUUCGGUGUGAAAUCUCCCGGCUCAACUGGGAGGGUGCGCCGAAAACUGGGGUGCUGGAGCGCGGGAGAGGAAAGCGGAAUUCCUGGUGUAGCGGUGAAAUGCGCAGAUAUCAGGAAGAACACCCGCGGCGAAGGCGGCUCUCUGGAACGCAACUGACGCUGAGACGCGAAAGCGUGGGGAGCGAACAGG